CGCGUUCGCCCCGGACCUGGGACCUAUAAAAGCGCCAACUGUUCAGACACCGGCGGUUGCUACUGGUUGACUACGGUACCGGACCAGUUGCCUGGGUAGGGUCUCGUCAUAUCCCCGGUCAAGAAAAGCCGCUAAGAGGAUCUUAGCGGGGAGAGGGGUUGAAGAUGGUUUUAGCGGUGAGGUAUAUAAAAAAUGUUAGGAUAGAUCAAUUCCAUAUUAAUCAAUCCUAACAUUUUUUGUAUACUUCACCGCUAAGACCUUUUUCGACCCCUCCCCCCGCUAAGACCAUCUUAGCGGGUUUUCUUGACCGGGAUCAAUGGUAAGUGGUAAUUAGAGUCAGUCCGCUCUCUCUCCCCCUUGCGGUUCGUUCUUGCUACUCCGCUGCUGUACUCGACGACCAGAGCGGCAGAACAACGAACUAGCCGGAACACGACGACGACGAGCGCGACAGACGAGCUCGAGUCGCCGUUCGUGUCUGUCCAGGCAGACUUCACCGGCGCGACUUGUGGUAGAAGAGUGCCACCCCGGACGCCCGCAGGUGCCGCACCUUGUAGUCGCCGCUCGGAACGUCGCCACGGCGGUAGUUGCUUUGGCGGUACCUAAGUCUGUUGCUUAAGUUAGGCCGGUAAUUGACGCAGACGAGGAUGUUGUAGUCGUGGCAGACGGUGUAGUGGUCCGACUCUCAUAUACGUGAUCUACACCAACCAGUCUAAGGGCGCCUUGACGAUUUAAAUUGAAUGGACUGUCAUGACAUACUUGAUAAAGGUGGUACUUCGAAGUUUCGAUUACCUACAGGUGAAUUUCACAAUGUGUACGAGUGUUAAUGUUCGACGUCAAGGGGAUCAAUGACAUACUACGUACGGUAAUCGCCCUCUAUCUUCCUCACGUCAUCAAAAAGUAUCUGAUAAACAAGAUUAGAAUGUAGAUAUCCAAUCUUACCACGCUUGACUCAUAAGUACACAAUAUGUAUGUCAAAGAAGCAACUGAUCAAUACGGAGAAAGUUAUAUUCAGCGAAGACAACUACACAAACCAAAAGUCUGCGGGAAGGGAAAUAAAUGUACAAUAAAAGUCAGCUAAAAAAGGGUUAUUGAACUUUUAACAUCAAAUUGAUAUUGUCCGAGUGCGAUGAAGAUAUCAAGUACGUUAUUGUAAAUACAAUGUAUAGUAAACCAUCGUACCAUCAAGAUCAACGGAAAUGAAAGGUUCCGGAUAUGCUUAAUUUACGACUACGGACGGUCGGUUAUUCUCAAAGACGUUAACUUUUAAACCUUUGUAAUCAAAAUGUAACUAAGACUACGCGAAGCGGCGAAAGUCCCUAAAUAGGGUCUUAAUGAACUGUCCUAGAAACGGUCGUAAAGAACCUUUCGACUGAGCCAACGUCAUAGAUUCAAACUCAUAGUUACGUAAUUGACCUCAAAAUGGCUCGCUCGACCCAUUGGAGUUCUUAGAGUAAAGAGACCCGCAAUCGUGUUUAUUCAAACAGCCAGGUGAGGGGCUUCAUCAUCUUUUGAACUGGUUUGAACUCGUUGACAUAUAGCUAUCAACACCAAAUUCACCUCUCGAUGGUAGAAGGAAAAGGUUUGAAUUCUUGGACUUUAGGGAUACCCGUAGUCUAUUACCCAAAUGACCCUUCUAUGGACUAAUGUAACCUUCGAAUAGUUUAAACGUCCUAGACUCUGAGGUACCUUUAUUGAAACUGCCAGGGUAAGGACGUUCAAAAAGAUUAGAAUAGUUGAACUGUUUAAACUCUUAACCACUAAAUUGCCCUCUCGACAGAAGUAACCGAAAACACCAAUUGUACUGCAGCAACAUAUGAGAUCUAGACUCUUUGAGGUCCUAUAGACUGUUGGAACGAAGUCACCUGAAGAGUUUUAAACAAUUGGAGUUAAUAGACCUGAACUCAAAAUUGUCGUAGUGUCCGUUUCAAUGAGGUUUGGAAGACUUGGACUUAGGGGAGCUUAAGGAUAAAGAACCCUCAUUAUUGGAGAGACCCUAGGAUGGUCUAUACUAAUCGGGAAGUGAAUGAUGAUAACUAGACAGUAUGUUAUACGAGAGUCCUUCUAUGGGAAGAACCCAAUUGUACUUAUUGAAUGUACACUUAAACCACACCUUGUUGAAACCCUAUCUAUUGAGCUUGUUGUCAUAAAACGGAAGUCCUGAUUUAACAGAAGUCGCUCUAUGAGGUACAAAACUAAGAGGUAGAAUAAGGAGGAAACGCCAUCUGAGACCACCAAGCUCUGGGUAGUCUCCGAGUCUGUUGAGGUAAAUGCUUGGACUACUACGGUCAGAAGGUCAACGUAGUAUGAUACAAUGCUUGAGUUGUUCUACCCCGCAAUCGUUGUAGCCCUCUAAGUACCUGAGCAGAUUACCCUCAAUAUAUUAUAUGUGAAGAGCGGCCAAAUGGUUGUGUGAACUAAGACUUGAUAAAGUCUGUCGGUCUUACAGUGGGAGAAGUAACUCUAUGAUGCCGUAACCCGAGUUCUUACCGUACAUGUCGCAACAUGAAGUUAAACGUCUCUAAAAAAAGGGUCUACUGGUCUGUACCUUUUCGUACCCUUUCUCCUAAAAGUUAUAUAUAUAGGUCCCUCUAGAAUUUCUUUGUCUAAAGCUAUAUUUCUUUGUUUGUUUACCUUUUAGAAUAUGACGACAAGUUUCUGUCAUGUGACAACUUCAUUGCUUAUUAAAGUAACUAUAAGUAGAGAAAACCCGACCUUUCCCGUGAACAACGUAAGGACUGGUUCCCAAGAUACCCGGUAGCUAUAGUCGUAAUUCGCAUAGAAGAAUACUACCGUUGCCACUUCCCCUAGGACCAAGUGUCUCUUUGUCGUGAUGGUCAUCUUGUCCAAACCAACAACCUCAACAUCAGACACAACGUUAAAAUCCUAAAGAUCGUGAGCGACCCCGGAAACAAACCUCCGUCUUUUCUUCUUCCGAUCUCCACCUUUACCUUCUCGACAAGUCAUAUCAACCUUCCGGAUUGCAGAAGUCAAUGCCACUUUAUUUCAGACGACGACUGUCAAAAUCACUAUCGUUGUAAGAGCCUUCUCCCCCUAUACCUGGACAAAUGUUCCAACCAAUGUAAAGGUUGUUCUAAUUCGUCGAGAUUUAAAGUAACAUCUAGCAACGAUAUGCGUUAGAUCUCAUUCUGUGGUGAAAACCAGAUACUCAUAGACCUUGUUCCCUCGGAGCUAGUUCGUUAAAAACCGUUCUGUCUGAACUUGGAUCUAACCUCUUGCGCGAAGCUCUAUACGUAUCCGUAACGUUCUCCAGAGCGUAUGGAGGUACUCCUCAGGUCGUACGCCUAUCAGGUGUCCCUGUAGUUUCGGUCGUUACAGAACGAGCUGCGACUAGAGUUGGGAUUCUAGAGACUGAAGCCCGACCGGUCCGUAAUGUUCCUGUCGUACUGCGUAGAGUUGUGGCCUCAUCGACCGUGCGAACCAAUAGAGCGUGGGCUCAUGCGGUACUACCCUGUGGACUGCCUUUUCCGGCUGCAAAAACGCAAGCCGCAGCACCGUGACCUCUGCCUUGAAGCUACUGUCGGAGCUCCUUCUACUCUUCAUAGAAGAACCUACACGGACCGUAGACGUACUCUCGGUUGCCUGUGAACUUGACAACCUGUCAUUUGAGUAACUUAAGCUACUCCUUCUCCGGCGCGCUGAGUAGUUACAGCGAGAAGAAACGUGCUACCCGGACGGAGUCGCUGCGGGUGGUUACAGGUUCCAGCACAGGUACGAGUCCCUUCUGUAACUCCACUGACUGCACCUGUGUUGGUAAUCCGGGUCGAUGCAGGGACUUACCGUCGAGUCCUCGGAGUCGUCGUCAAUGCAGAGUCCCAGCCCCAGCAGCCGAGUCGUCAGGAGGCCGUCAGUUUAGUCGCGCGGCAGGUCGAGCUCGUUCUUCGGGCCCUAGGUGUCCCUGUGGAGUGGCGACCGAAACAGCGCAACGAGAUCACCGCCCUAGCUUCUCCCUCGUACUUACGGGCCUCAUUUAACGUCUUUUGGUGGUAUUAACUCCUGGGAUUAAGUGUUU
rnacentral:rRNA from 1 species